CCUACGGGGUGCUGCAGUGGGGAAUAUUGGACAAUGGGCGAAAGCCUGAUCCAGCCAUGCCGCGUGUGUGAAGAAGGCCUUCGGGUUGUAAAGCACUUUCAGUGGGGAAGAAAGCCUUGGGGCUAAUACCCUCGAGGAAGGACAUCACCCACAGAAGAAGCACCGGCUAACUCCGUGCCAGCAGCCGCGGUAAUACGGGAGGGUGCGAGCGUUAAUCGGAAUUACUGGGCGUAAAGCGCGCGUAGGCGGUCUGAUAAGCCGGUUGUGAAAGCCCCGGGCUCAACCUGGGAACGGCAUCCGGAACUGUCAGGCUAGAGUGCAGGAGAGGAAGGUAGAAUUCCCGGUGUAGCGGUGAAAUGCGUAGAGAUCGGGAGGAAUACCAGUGGCGAAGGCGGCCUUCUGGACUGACACUGACGCUGAGGUGCGAAAGCGUGGGUAGCAAACAGGAUUAGAUACCCCUGUAGUC
rnacentral:rRNA from 1 species